rnacentral:rRNA from 1 species
UACGGAGGGGGCUAGCGUUGUUCGGAAUUACUGGGCGUAAAGCGCGCGUAGGCGGCUUUGUAAGUUAGAGGUGAAAGCCCGGAGCUCAACUCCGGAAUUGCCUUUAAGACUGCAUCGCUAGAAUCAUGGAGAGGUGAGUGGAAUUCCCGAGUGUAGAGGUGAAAUUCGUAGAUAUUCGGAAGAACACCAGUGGCGAAGGCGACUCACUGGACAUGUAUUGACGCUGAGGUGCGAAAGCGUGGGGAGCAAACAGG